UACGAAGGGGGCUAGCGUUGUUCGGAAUUACUGGGCGUAAAGCGUGCGCAGGCGGCUUCUCAAGUCAGGGGUGAAAGCCCAGAGCUCAACUCUGGAAUUGCCUUUGAGACUGAGUGGCUUGAGUACGAGAGAGGUGUGUGGAAUUCCCAGUGUAGAGGUGAAAUUCGUAGAUAUUGGGAAGAACACCGGUGGCGAAGGCGGCUCACUGGCUCGUAACUGACGCUCAUGCACGACAGCGUGGGGAUCAAACAGG
rnacentral:rRNA from 1 species